GAACCAAUUCAUGGCUUCGAUCUACUCAUAGGGCUAACACAACAUCAGAAAGUUGAUUAUUUGAGUAAGGAGCUUAUACACUUUGACAUGAUUGUCGAAAAUAAAGCUGACUUAGAAAAAUCACAAUCGGCUAAAUUUAAAAUAAAAGCCGAAACUAAUACUCCAAGUGCAUAUGAGCUUCAAAAUUCGGCCUACAUAAUGGCCGAAUAUCAAGAACAUACUAUAAGUGACCCGUACAUGAUGCUACAUGGCAUGCAAGAUCUUGAACCAAAGGAUGGAAGCAAAGAAAUUUCAAAAUUUGCAAUAAAGCAUCGUUGGCCGCCUCCAUAAUGAGAUAAAAAGGUAAUUAUUGCAAGGCUGAGAUUUUUUCUAUAAUCACAGCCUAAAUUAUUUUGAUAUUACUUUCUUCUUUUGGCCAAAUUGUUCAAUAGUUCCUUAACCAUUCGGCUCGAGCCGAUGCUCAAGGAACUGGGGGGGCUUUGUUUUUACACAUCGGCCUACUAGGGCGAAUCCGUUGGUUGCGAGGAUGAUUACAACAUUUAAUGAUAAUUAUUACGAUUAUUUCGUAUAAUUAUCAUCACCAUUAUUAAGAUUUGCCGAGAUUCAUUAUUUGGUAUUAAAACUAUUACAUACCAAAUAUUGAAUCAAUGGCGAUAUAUGGCAACAAAUUAACAUUAUAGCUAAUUUGAUUCAGUCAUUAAGACCGAAAUAUUUAUUUUAUUUAAUUGUUUUCUCCUUCCUUAAUUUUUGUGUUUGUACUUGUAUAUAUUCGACCCUCGGCCUCAUUGUAAAAGGUCCCCGACCAACACAAACAACACUUCAAUUCAAUCCACUACCAGGACAAGCACUUUAGCCGACGAAAAUGUUUCGUCGGCUAAGAUCUUAGCCGACGAGCUAUCGUCGGCUAAGAUUUCGUCGGGAAAAGGUCGUCGGCGAUGACUUUAGCCGACGAAAAAAAAAAAUUUCGCCGGGUAUAGUCCCACAGUUUAGCCGACGAAAAACAUGUCGUCGGUUUUUUUCCCAGACUUUAGCCGACGAAACAAUUAAGAUAUUCGUCGGCUAAAGUCUGUAAUAAAAAAAUUUUACCCAGACUAUAGCCGACGAAAUAUAGUCUGUUUCGUCGGCUAAACCUUAUAAAAAAAUUUUAAAAAUAAC
rnacentral:lncRNA from 1 species